GCUAGCUUGGGGUAGUGGUUUGAGUGUUGGACUAUGACUUUGGAGAUCAGGGUUCAAAUCCCUGAUCAGCC